rnacentral:rRNA from 1 species
GGGGGAAUUUUGGACAAUGGGGGGCAACCCUGAUCCAGCCAUUCCGCGUGAGUGAAGAAGGCCUUCGGGUUGUAAAGCUCUUUUGUCCGGAGCGAAACGGGCGGCCCUAAUACGGUCGUCUACUGACGGUACCGGAAGAAUAAGCACCGGCUAACUACGUGCCAGCAGCCGCGGUAAUACGUAGGGUGCGAGCGUUAAUCGGAAUUACUGGGCGUAAAGCGUGCGCAGGCGGUUUUGUAAGCCAGAUGUGAAAUCCCCGGGCUCAACCUGGGAAUGGCAUUUGGGACUGCAAGGCUGGAGUGUGGCAGAGGGGACUAGAAUUCCUGGUGUAGCAGUGAAAUGCGUAGAUAUCAGGAGGAAUACCGAUGGCGAAGGCAGGUCCCUGGGUUAACACUGACGCUC